GGUGUCCACCUCUUCCCAUUCCGAACAGAGAAGUUAAGCCCGCCAGAGCCGAUGGUAUUGCCGUAACAGGUGGGAGAGUAGGUCGGCGCCUAUU
rnacentral:rRNA from 1 species